UGAGGGAGAAUAUCAGACAGGUCGGCCGACAUCUGAGGAGAGAAUAACAAGGGUUAACAUUUCGAGUCCGGUGAUCGGUCUUCAGAACUGCCACCCCGAAUAUUAACUGUGUUUCUCUCUCCGCAGAUGCUACCCGACCUGCCGAGUUCCUCCAGCGCUUUCUGUUCUUUUUGUCUCUCCGCUGCUGCAUUUGUCUGACUUCACCCCUGAGCGGUACUGAGACGACUCAGCUCACGAUCCGUUACCAGCCGAGAGCCCAGAGUGUCCUCCCGCCGUGUAAAGUGUUGUCCUUUCCUGCUCAAACAGGACUCAGGUGCUAUCUCAGAAGGCUACACAAAGGGACACACUUCUCAUCUUGUUUGAACACAUCAAUGGCCCACAACAUACUGGUUGAAAAUUUCUGAUGUAGAAGAAUAAGGGACAGGAAAUGCCACUUGUCCCUUCCCUAAUUGUGUCAUUUGCAGAGAGAAGUUGGCAAACACUGCACUGGUCCAAUUUUGACAGGAACAAAUGAACACUGCAAGUGAAAUAUUUAUACCUAUUUCAUCAUGAGUAAGAGAUGCCAAAAAAAACCCAGCACAUGAUGUUUGGUACUGCUUUGUUUCCUCUUGCAUCACCUGUACAUGUCCUUGGAAGUCCUCUGAAAAUGCAAGAUCACUGACAGACAUUCCAUCCAUUCAAAAUUGGCAUGUCCAGUACAGAAUGCUUGAAACUUCCCAGAUUGCCAAUUCCAGCAGACAGCACGUUAGCCUCAAUGAUCUCAGAAACAAUCUUGUUCUUCCUAAAUUGCAACAAGUACCUAGAUAUACACUUACACUAUGAAUGGAAAUCCAGCCAUUAUCCACAUAGCAACACUAGCUAAAAGAAAAGGGAAGCAAACCUCCAAUGAUCCACAAAUGAUCCAACCUCAAACCUCCAAAAAUACACAAGUCUUGGAAAGCACACAACAGAAUUUCUCACUAACAAAAAGAAAAAGGUGUUGACAACCCAAAGAUAUUCUCAAAGCUACACUCGGGAUGAGUGAUCAAAUUCUGACAGAACAGAAAAUAAAUGGAUAGCAAGACACAAAGAAGGGAAAGAGAUGCUCAGAAAUGGAGAGAGAAAGAGGACUUACAGCUCAACUCGGGAAAUACCACAGAUUGCUACAAGUCAAGUGAUUGGGAUAGUGAGAACCAAAAAACAAGUAAUUCAGAACAAGAGAAAAAGGCCUAAUCAACUAGGUCACAAGCCACAAUCCAUGAACGAAGGAACUCAACACAAAAACAAUCCAUUACUGUGGACUUCGUGAUCAUUGCACACCUGAUUUACGGACGAUGUUUGAUUUUAAAAUACGCAUAAAUAUAUGCUUGCCUUUAUUUGUGGGGAAAGUAAAUAUAUGCAAGACUAUUAGACAAAUGAAAGUUGCAACAGCUUUCUAAGUCCAGCAGGCACCUAAGAGUCCAAUCUUGUGCAAUCUUCAGCCAGCUGGUGAGUCAACUCAAGCCAAGGGUCUGAGCCACACUGUCUUUAUUACUCUUCACCAAACAAGGAAUUCACUGUACAGGGCACCAAGAACUUCCAGAAAAAUAAGGAUUCAAAUGAGUGGGAAGAAGCCAUACUAAAAUAUUAGAAGGAAUGAAAGUUCAUGGGAUUAAAUCAAUGCAAGCAUGGAAAGAUCAUCACAGUCAAAAAUUCAACAUCAAAUAAGUUGCCUUAAACUUAUCCCCCUAUAUAUACUCAUUGUUUUCACUGGGACCAUUUUGAUGUGGCAAUGUAUUCCUCCCAAAAACACCAUAUAGUCAGAAUACACCAGUGAACUAAGUAUUAUUAACAAUCAUAUGGGAGACCAGCUGAUUUUAAACGAAAAAACUUCAAUGCGUUCCUCAAAAGGAAGAUUUUAUUACAUUGUCUAAAAUGUGCAGAUUAGGUGGAUUGGCCAUGCAAAAUUCUCUAGUGUCCAGGGAUAUGCAGGUUAGGUCCAUUAACUAUUGAUAAAUAUGGGUUAUCAGGAAUAGGAUGGGAUGCUCUUCAGAAGGUCAAUACAGACUCAAAGGAGCUGAAUGGCCUCUAUCUGCAUGAAUUUUGCACAGUACAAUGAACAAGCACUGAAAUAUGUUACAUUCAUAAUUAGUCCACUAACCGAUCAUAUCUUCCAAUCCAGAUCUGUUCCAAAUUCUUAAAUUUAUCCAAUUUCCAAUCAUUUUCCCACUGUAAUAUAUUCACUUCCUGUAGAAAGGGUAACAA